UGGGGAAUAUUGGACAAUGGCGAAAGCCUGAUCCAGCAAUGCCGCGUGAGUGAUGAAGGCCCUAGGGUUGUAAAGCUCUUUUACCCGGGAUGAUAAUGACAGUACCGGGAGAAUAAGCCCCGGCUAACUCCGUGCCAGCAGCCGCGGUAAUACGGAGGGGGCUAGCGUUGUUCGGAAUUACUGGGCGUAAAGCGCACGUAGGCGGCUUUGUAAGUUAGAGGUGAAAGCCUGGAGCUUAACUCCAGAACUGCCUUUAAGACUGCAUCGCUUGAAUCCGGGAGAGGUGAGUGGAAUUCCGAGUGUAGAGGUGAAAUUCGUAGAUAUUCGGAAGAACACCAGUGGCGAAGGCGGCUCAACUGGACCGGUAUUGACGCUGAGGUGCGAAAGCGU
rnacentral:rRNA from 1 species